AAACUUACCUGGCAGGGGGGACACCAUGUUCAAGUAGGUAGUUUUCCUAGGACAAGGCCCACAUAUUGCUCUUAGGGUAUACUUAUCCUUGUGAUUUCCCCAAAUUCAGGAAACUCAACUGCAUAAUUUGUGGUAGUGGGGGGACUGUGUCCAUGCUCUCUCCUG
ensembl:snRNA U1 U1 spliceosomal RNA